rfam:Pelobacter sp. SFB93, complete genome.
GGGGGUGUAGCUCAGUUGGGAGAGCGCCUGCCUUGCACGCAGGAGGCCAUCGGUUCGAACCCGGUCACCUCCA